GGGGUCGUAGCUCAAAUGGUAGAGCGCCCGCUUAGCAUGCGAUGCUGAGCGCUGCAGAUGAUGUGCGGGAGGUAGGGGGAUCGAUGCCCUCCGACUCCA
rfam:Volvox carteri f. nagariensis unplaced genomic scaffold VOLCAscaffold_112, whole genome shotgun sequence.